rnacentral:misc_RNA from 1 species
AUGAAUUUUGGAGUUCUACUGUGCCUGCCGUUCAUUCGGAUGUGUGCACGUAGUCUCUAUAAAUCCUUAUCAACACCUGUGCACCUUUAAAAAGGGGGGGAGUUUUGAUUGAGCAUAUUUUAUUAUGCUUAUGACGAAUAACCUCUUUUUUUUCUUAUGCAAACUCUUUAAUGUCUAUUAGAAUGUUCUCUGGCCGCAAGGCUAUAAAAUAUAAA